UGGGGAAUAUUGGACAAUGGGCGAAAGCCUGAUCCAGCCAUGCCGCGUGUGUGAAGAAGGUCUUCGGAUUGUAAAGCACUUUAAGUUGGGAGGAAGGGCAGUAAAUUAAUACUUUGCUGUUUUGACGUUACCGACAGAAUAAGCACCGGCUAACUCUGUGCCAGCAGCCGCGGUAAUACAGAGGGUGCAAGCGUUAAUCGGAAUUACUGGGCGUAAAGCGCGCGUAGGUGGUUCGUUAAGUUGGAUGUGAAAUCCCCGGGCUCAACCUGGGAACUGCAUUCAAACUGACGAGCUAGAGUAUGGUAGAGGGUGGUGGAAUUUCCUGUGUAGCGGUGAAAUGCGUAGAUAUAGGAAGGAACACCAGUGGCGAAGGCGACCACCUGGACUGAUACUGACACUGAGGUGCGAAAGCGUGGGGAGCAAAAGCA
rnacentral:rRNA from 1 species